rnacentral:pre_miRNA from 1 species
UAAGUAAUCCCUCCGUCCGAAAAUACUUGUCAUCAAAAUGGAUAAAAAGGGAUGUAUCUAGAACUAAUAUACAUCUAGAUACAUCCCCUUUUAUUCAUUUUGAUGACAAGUAUUUCCGGACGGAGGGAGUAGGAG